UCCGGGGUGGUGUAAUGGUAACACAGAAGACUUUGGAUCUUCUAUUCAUGGUUCGAAUCCAUGCCCCGGAG
rnacentral:tRNA from 3 species